rnacentral:rRNA from 1 species
GAUGAACGCUGGCGGCGUGCCUAAUACAUGCAAGUCGAGCGAACGGACGAGAAUCUUGCUUCUCUGAUGUUAGCGGCAGACGUGUGAGUAACACGUGUAUAACCUACCUAUAAGACUGGGAUAACUUCGGGAAACCGGAUCUAAUACCGGAUAAUAUUUUGAACCGCAUUGUUCAAAAGUGAAAGUCGGUCUUGGUGUCACUUAUAGAUGGAUCCGCGCUUCAUUAGCUAGUUGGUAAGGUAACGGCUUACCAAGGCAACGAUGCAUAGCCGACCUGAGAGGGUGAUCGGCCACCCUGGAACUGAGACACGGUCCAGACUCCUACGGGAGGCAGCAGUAGGGAAUCUUCCGCAAUGGGCGAAAGCCUGACGGAGCAACGCCGCGUGAGUGAUGAAGGUCUUCGGAUCGGAAAACUCUGUUAUUAGGGAAGAACAUAUGUGUAAGUAACUGUGCACAUCUUGACGGUACCUAAUCAGAAAGCAACGGCUAACUACGUG